rnacentral:misc_RNA from 1 species
AACCCCUCAAGCAUCGCUUGGUGUUGGGCGCUUGUCCCGCCUCCGCGCGCGGACUCGCCUUGAAGACAUUGGCGGCCUGUGUAUUGGCUAUGAGCGCAGCAGAUUCGCGCCUCAGACCCUCUUGCGCGGGCGUCCAGUAAGCGACCCCCCAUA